AUCAUGUCGCAGUGUUGCCUGGAUAAAAAUGUUAGAAGUGCAGGUCCUGCGUAUUUUGCUAAUGUUGCUAUUAAGAUCAAUGCCAAGUUUGGAGGAAGAAACUUAGAAUUUGCUAAUCCCAAAGAAAGCUUGUCGGGUGUUACAAUUGAACCAACAAUUAUAUUUGGUGCUGAUGUUACUCACCCUCCCGCUCUAGAUGAUACCGCCCCUUCCAUUGCUUCUGUUGUUGCCUCCCAAGACUGGCCCAAGGUGGCUAACUAUAAUGGGAUUGUCCGUGCACAAGGUCAUCGUAAAGAGCUCAUCAAUGGCCUGGAAGACAUUGUCAAGGAACUCCUACUUGCAUUCAAGGAGAGGUCUAAGCGGAGACCCAAGCAGCUGAUCUUCCAAUUGCACCCAUAUAUACAUGCAAUUGUUUUCAUGUUUCAAUGAAAAAUCAAACAUUAAUUCAUGUUCGUGCUUCCUGGUUGUAACGUUUCUUUCUUUUUCUUCUUCUUGCAACCUUAAUUUCAACUUCUUAUAGUUAGAACUUUUCUGUCAUGUUCCUCUUGUUGGAAACUCUGAAUGAUGUGGCAUGUAAAUCCUCAACGUUAACC